rfam:Pteropus alecto contig25558, whole genome shotgun sequence.
GUCUAUGACCAUGCCACCCUGAAUGCACCUGAUCCCGUCUGAUCUCGGAUGCUAAGCAGGAUUGGGCCUGGUUAGUACUUGGAUGGCAGACCACCUGGGAAUACCAGGUGCUGUAGGCU